ACGGGAGGCAGCAGUGAGGAAUAUUGGUCAAUGGACGGAAGUCUGAACCAGCCAAGUCGCGUGAAGGAUGAAGGUAUUAUGUAUUGUAAACUUCUUUAGCAGUGGAGUAAUAAGGGGAUCGCGAUCCCUGAUGCAAGUACACUGAGAAUAAGGAUCGGCUAACUCCGUGCCAGCAGCCGCGGUAAUACGGAGGAUCCGAGCGUUAUCCGGAUUUAUUGGGUUUAAAGGGUGCGCAGGCGGCUUUUUAAGUCAGUGGUUAAAUCGUGACGCUCAACGUCAUCACGCCAUUGAUACUGGAGAGCUUGAUUGCGGUCGAGGUUUGCGGAAUUCGUUGUGUAGCGGUGAAAUGCAUAGAUAUGACGAAGAACUCCGAUUGCGAAGGCAGCUUACUGUCGCGUAACUGACGCUGAAGCUCGAAAGUGCGGGUAUCGAACAGGAUUAGAUACCCUGGUA
rnacentral:rRNA from 1 species